GUAUAAGGUUACAGGUUUGUCCAAAUUAAAGAUACCAUAAAUUCUAGUCAUGCCAGAGACGUUGGUCCUACAGAGCCAGAAGGACUCGUCAUAUGAGAUAACAAGGGCUGAAGCCAGUUGGAUCUAAAGUGCCAAGUUAUUCGUUAUCAGACAACAGAGACAAAUUCUCUAAUACCAAGGUCAAUGCAUUUGACUGCUGUGCAGCCCCGGGUUGCCACCGAAAACUUUAUGCAUCUUGGACUGGAAGAUGGUGUGCUAGUAAGGAAGCUAGCUACCACAGCUUUUGCCACCACAUCUCAGUGUUGGGAGGGAAGUUCACUCACUGCACAACUCUACUUUCCUCCUCAGCCAUGAUCCGUAACCACCAUGGUUUUCUUUCUGGGCCAGAAGACUUUGCAAACAAAUAAGCAAUAAAUGAUCAUGCAUUACAAAAUUAGCCAUGUUAGACUGUUAAGUUGUUGGUUUGUAGGCUGGGUGUCCAGUAAACAAUUUUAAGCUUAGAGGGCAAAUUCUCUCACCUAGGAGGGUAAACAACUUUUGUUUUUCAUGAAAUCUGCAUUUUGAAUUGAUGGUCUACCAAUGAGGCUGUAGAGUAUUGCGACACAAAAGUAAAGCACUUGCGCGAUAAAACAUGCAUUCGGGUGUAUUACAUUAUAUAUUAUUUCACACACGUAUACAUGCGUGCACGCGUGCGCACUCAGAGGAAACUGCUCCCCAAGCAUGGAA